UUUUUUUUUUUUCUGAGACAGAGUCUUGCUCUGUCGCCCAGGCUGGAGUGCAGUGGCGCAAUCUCGGCUCACUGCAACCUCUGCUUCCCGGGUUCAAGUGAUUCUCCUGUCUCAGCCUCCCAAGUAACUGGGACUACAGGCGUGUGCCACCACACCCGGCUAAUUUUUGUAUUUUCAGUAAAGACAGGGUUUCACUGUGUUAGCCAGGCUGGUCUUGAUCUCCUGA
rnacentral:lncRNA from 10 species